rnacentral:rRNA from 1 species
UACGGAGAGGGCAAGCGUUGUUCGGAUUUAUUGGGCGUAAAGCGCGCGUAGGUGGCAUGGUAAGUCGAAUGUUAAAGACCCACGGCUCACCCGGGGGUAUGCGUCCGAUACUGCCGUGCUAGAGUGCGGGAGAGGAAAGUGGAAUUCCUGGUGUAGCGGUGAAAUGCGUAGAUAUCAGGAGGAACACCGGUGGCGAAGGCGGCUUUCUGGCCCGCAACUGACACUGAGGCGCGAAAGCGUGGGGAGCGAACGGGAUUAGAUAC